UGGGGAAUAUUGCACAAUGGGCGCAAGCCUGAUGCAGCCAUGCCGCGUGUAUGAAGAAGGCCUUCGGGUUGUAAAGUACUUUCAGCGAGGAGGAAGGCAUUGUGGUUAAUAACCACAGUGAUUGACGUUACUCGCAGAAGAAGCACCGGCUAACUCCGUGCCAGCAGCCGCGGUAAUACGGAGGGUGCAAGCGUUAAUCGGAAUUACUGGGCGUAAAGCGCACGCAGGCGGUUGAUUAAGUCAGAUGUGAAAUCCCCGAGCUUAACUUGGGAACUGCAUUUGAAACUGGUCAGCUAGAGUCUUGUAGAGGGGGGUAGAAUUCCAGGUGUAGCGGUGAAAUG
rnacentral:rRNA from 1 species